AGCGAACGCUGGCGGCAGGCCUAACACAUGCAUGUCGAACGCCCGUAGCAAUACGGGAGUGGCAGACGGGUGAGUAACGCGUGGGAACGUACCCUUCGGUUCGGAAUAAUCCAGGGAAACUUGGACUAAUACCGGAUACGUCCGUGAGGAGAAAGAUUUAUCGCCGAAGGAUCGGCCCGCGUCGGAUUAGCUAGUUGGUGAGGUAACGGCUCACCAAGGCUUUGAUCCGUAGCUGGUCUGAGAGGACGAUCAGCCACACUGGGACUGAGACACGGCCCAUACUCCUACGGGAGGCAGCAGUGGGAAUAUUGGACAAUGGGCGCAAGCCUGAUCCAGCCAUGCCGCGUGAGUGAUGAAGGCCUUAGGGUUGUAAAGCUCUUUCGGCGGGGACGAUAAUGACGGUACCCGCAGAAGAAGCCCCGGCCAACUUCGUGCCAGCCGCCGCCGUAAAAC
rnacentral:rRNA from 1 species